CCCAGACAGCCAGGAUGUUGGCUUAGAAGCAGCCAUCAUUUAAAGAAAGCGUAAUAGCUCACUGGUCGAGUCGGCCUGCGCGGAAGAUGUAACGGGGCUAAACCAUGCACCGAAGCUGCGGCAGCGACACUAUGUGUUGUUGGGUAGGGGAGCGUUCUGUAAGCCUGUGAAGGUGGCCUGUGAGGGUUGCUGGAGGUAUCAGAAGUGCGAAUGCUGACAUAAGUAACGAUAAAGCGGGUGAAAAGCCCGCUCGCCGGAAGACCAAGGGUUCCUGUCCAACGUUAAUCGGGGCAGGGUGAGUCGACCCCUAAGGCGAGGCCGAAAGGCGUAGUCGAUGGGAAACGGGUUAAUAUUCCCGUACUUGGUGUUACUGCGAAGGGGGGACGGAGAAGGCUAUGUUGGCCGGGCGACGGUUGUCCCGGUUUAAGCGUGUAGGUGUGUGUUCCAGGUAAAUCCGGUUCACUUUAACACUGAGGCGUGAUGACGAGGCACUACGGUGCUGAAGCAACAAAUGCCCUGCU
rnacentral:rRNA from 1 species